CUGAUUGAUUGAUUGACCCAGCCAGCUUAGCUCCAGGGGACACGCGCGCACACGCCAGUCAUCUUCGUGAACGCCAGAGCCUUUAAAAAUAAUGUUUAAGCGGGGGGGAGAACACGUAGCUUUUAUUAUUUCUGGUCCGCGUUCAGCGCUGAGGUUUGCAGCAGUUUCUUGGAGACUGUGCAACAACACGUGCAGAUAGGCGAGCGUGUGCGGGUUGGUUUACACUCCCCAAUGAGCGCGACGCAGAGGGGUAAGGUACUAACUGGCUUGAUCAAAUCCUAAAUGACUUGGAAAUUACAGCUGCAAAACAUACAGAGGAGGAAAUGAAUGAGAGAAUUAAUAUUACAAGUGAAUUUCUACGUCUAGAAUUUGGGGAUCCAGAGAAAUUUAAGAUACCCAGCCUUUGAAGCUUUGCAACCUAAGGAAAGGAGCAUUGACUGGUUUUAUCUGUUUCAGAAGGCCUGGGAAAGAAAGGCCCCAAAACUGUAUAAAAUGUCAGCCUGAGAUGACUGAGGGACUCAUUUUGAUCCAACAAAUUGACACAAACUUUUAACCAAGGGGGCAAACCCUGCUGAAGGAUUUGAAGAAUUGGAAUUUGCCAGCAUUUCCAUAAGAAAGAUGGGGGAUAUCAGGUAAGCUUAGUAUGCAGUUAGGCCUUUUUUUGCUUUAUGGUAUGUUUUUUUCUGUAAUGUUUUUGUCCUAAAAUAAAUAUACUUUGCUUUAUGAAGUGUAGGCGUGUAGGGGUGUGUGGCCCUCCCUCUCUGCCAAUCUCCAAGGGAGGCCACACCUCUUUUCUGUCAUGUCCCUGGAGUAGCAGUAUAUCAAAGUGGGAAAGUUAGCAGUCUCAGCUCUCAGUCAGUGGAGAGCAGCCAGCAAUUCCAGGGCCCAAACAGUCUAGAGUUCCAGCCCUCAAGUGGGGUACAA